rnacentral:rRNA from 1 species
UACAGAGGGGGCAAGCGUUGUUCGGAAUUAUUGGGCGUAAAGAGCGCGCAGGCGGUCGUUCAAGUCGCGUGUGAAAGCCCCCGGCUCAACUGGGGAGGGUCACGCGAUACUGAUCGACUCGAAGGCAGGAGAGGGUAGUGGAAUUCCCGGUGUAGUGGUGAAAUGCGUAGAUAUCGGGAGGAACACCAGUGGCGAAGGCGACUACCUGGCCUGUUUCUUGACGCUGAGGCGCGAAAGCUAGGGGAGCAAACAGG